rnacentral:tRNA from 1 species
GGCGCUAUCGUCUAGUGGUCAGGACACCAGGUUCUCAUCCUGGUAACUCGGGUUCGACUCCCGAUAGCGUCA